rnacentral:rRNA from 1 species
GACGAACGCUGGCGGCGUGCUUAACACAUGCAAGUCGAACGGAAAGGCCCUGCUUUUGUGGGGUGCUCGAGUGGCGAACGGGUGAGUAACACGUGAGUAACCUCCCCUUGACUUUGGGAUAACUUCAGGAAACUGGGGCUAAUACCGGAUAGGAGCUCCUGCUGCAUGGUGGGGGUUGGAAAGUUUCGGCGGUUGGGGAUGGACUCGCGGCUUAUCAGCUUGUUGGUGGGGUAGUGGCUUACCAAGGCUUUGACGGGUAGCCGGCCUGAGAGGGUGACCGGCCACAUUGGGACUGAGAUACGGCCCAGACUCCUACGGGAGGCAGCAGUGGGGAAUAUUGCACAAUGGGCGGAAGCCUGAUGCAGCAACGCCGCGUGCGGGAUGACGGCCUUCGGGUUGUAAACCGCCUUCGCCUGUGACGAAGCGUGAGUGACGGUAAUGGGUAAAGAAGCACCGGCUAACUACGUG